rnacentral:sRNA from 1 species
GAGGAGGGCGCAUAUGUGCAAAGCACAUAUUUAGGAUGCGCCCGACAAUAUACCACAGAGCGAUAGCGAUGUGGUGAUACC